UGAGGAAUCUUGCGCAAUGGGGGCAACCCUGACGCAGCAACGCCGCGUGAGUGAGGAAGGCCUUCGGGUCGUAAAGCUCUUUCGGAUGGAAAGAAACGAAUGCGGGUUAAUAGCAUUCAUUCUUGACGGUACCAUCAGAGGAGGCACCGGCUAACUCAGUGCCAGCAGCCGCGGUAAUACGGGGGGUGCAAGCGUUGUUCGGAAUCAUUGGGCGUAAAGCGCGUGUAGGCGGCUUGGUAAGUCAGGGGUGAAAGCC
rnacentral:rRNA from 1 species